GGCGUAAAGGGCUCGCAGGCGGUUUCUUAAGUCUGAUGUGAAAGCCCCCGGCUCAACCGGGGAGGGUCAUUGGAAACUGGGAAACUUGAGUGCAGAAGAGGAGAGUGGAAUUCCACGUGUAGCGGUGAAAUGCGUAGAGAUGUGGAGGAACACCAGUGGCGAAGGCGACUCUCUGGUCUGUAACUGACGCUGAGGAGCGAAAGCGUGGGGAGCGAACAGGAUUAGAUACCCUGGUAGUCCACGCCGUAAACGAUGAGUGCUAAGUGUUAGGGGGUUUCCGCCCCUUAGUGCUGCAGCUAACGCAUUAAGCACUCCGCCUGGGGAGUACGGUCGCAAGACUGAAACUCAAAGGAAUUGACGGGGGCCCGCACAAGCGGUGGAGCAUGUGGUUUAAUUCGAAGCAACGCGAAGAACCUUACCAGGUCUUGACAUCCUCUGACGACCCUAGAGAUAGGGCUUUCCCUUCGGGGACAGAGUGACAGGUGGUGCAUGGUUGUCGUCAGCUCGUGUCGUGAGAUGUUGGGUUAAGUCCCGCAACGAGCGCAACCCUUGAUCUUAGUUGCCAGCAUUCAGUUGGGCACUCUAAGGUGACUGCCGGUGACAAACCGGAGGAAGGUGGGGAUGACGUCAAAUCAUCAUGCCCCUUAUGACCUGGGCUACACACGUGCUACAAUGGACAGAACAAAGGGCUGCAAGACCGCAAGGUUUAGCCAAUCCCAUAAAUCUGUUCUCAGUUCGGAUCGCAGUCUGCAACUCGACUGCCUGAAGCUGGAAUCGCUAGUAAUCGCGGAU
rnacentral:rRNA from 1 species